GUCUGCAUCACGAUUGCCGUCGUGGUACGGGUUAAACGGUCGAGAUAGAACGUUUCGCACUUGAGAGAGGCGUGAAACGAUUCAAUGGGGGCAUUAUCAGCGG
rnacentral:misc_RNA from 1 species